GAGGUAACCUAGAGUUGAGAGAUGGAGGAAGAGAUACAGAAUCUGGAUGGCUAUGCUCUGAUCCUGUAAUCCGACUAUGCCUGAAUGUGGAUCUACCUUCCAAAGGACUUCUCCAGCUCCAUUUACAGUCUGGCUCCUGGGCCUUUGGAUCCCAGCAGUGUCCGAGCAGGAGCUCAAAGGACAGCCCCACCAUGGGGGAUCAGCCCUAGAAGCUGUCACUACAUCUCCAACGGACGCAACUAUUUUCCAGGAACACCGGGGGAGAGAGCCAACAACAGCACAGUGGCCCCGGACCGUGACCCUUGGACUGAAGGAACCUACAGAUGUGGUUUUUUUUGGUGACAUUUUACAUGCAACUCCAGAUUUCAAACUCUUUUGGAGAAGCAGGCAAUCUGGCAACAGUCGUUUUGGAUUCUCAGAAGGCAAUAAAGAACAGCUGCCACCUUCCGAGGGGCACGGUGGAUGCCCUGUUCUGCCAGAAUUGCCAACACGUUUAUCGUCUUAGACUUGCCCAAGGUGUCGCAGUUAGAGACUGCCUCCCUUAUUCACGCUCCUGCCUGGUGCCCGUGGGCUUGAAUUUGCUCCCCUUGGAGUGGGGUGAGGCUCUGCAGACACUUCUCAUACACCUCCCCUGCAGACAGCAAGCUCCUGGAACACAAGUCACAUGCAUUUCAUUUCCUGCUCUCUUGCUACCACCCAACAUGGGCUCUCAAUACAUGUUGAAAGCAAGGAUCAAUGAAUAAAUGGGCAACUAUCA
rnacentral:lncRNA from 1 species